UGACAACAUUACAGGGAGGCAAAUUGUUCCAGUGUUCUUUUUGAACACCAACUCCGCUGCACCUUGGUCUUCUUCUCUCCAUGACGACAGCCCUUACAGAAUUACCCACCACAAAAGGACCAAGCAGCGGAGGAGGAAGGAGCCACAGGAGAACAGCGUGAUGGACUGGACAUGGGAGGACAUCCUGGACGGCAAGGGAUCCUACACUUGGGAGGAGAUCCUGGUCGGAAGGGAUCGCCUUCCAUGGGAACAGGUAGUGGCACUCAGAAGAGUGGAGGCAGCAGGUGAGAAGGACCAACGGCGAUGGUAUGAGGGAACACGGCUG
rnacentral:lncRNA from 1 species